UUUCCGUAGGUGAACCUGCGGAAGGAUCAUUUACAAAUCCAGGGGAUCAGGCAUGUGCGAUAGUGUGUGUCUGUUCCCCGCAAGUAAUGUGAACAGUGAAAAAGCGUUUGUUUUUUCAUCGUAUAUCAUACUGUUGUCUUAAUACUUUAUUAUUACAACUUUUAACAAUGGAUCUCUUGGUUCUU
rnacentral:misc_RNA from 1 species